AGCACCAAUCGUGCACGCCGGUCGCUUAGUAAACAGCUGGUAUUUAUACGGAUGUUGAAGUUCUUCAACGUACUUGCUUCUUAUCGCAGGACUUAACAUUUCUGAAAGAGAAAAUCGGCCCGGGAUUGGUAGAGAUAGUUGUUAGUUGGACAAAAUACCCUGCGUGCCCACGCGGAACUUACAAGUCCACCUGUGAGCCCACGGACGGAUGCACCCCGUGCCCGCCUGACUCGACCACAGCCGCUGAGGGCAGCAAACUCCUAGGAGCGUGCUUCUGCAAGGAAGGCUACGAGGGGGAUCCCAUGCGUGGGGAGUCCUGCAGGCUGGUGACCUGCCCGAUUUUGACGUCUCCUAGAAAUGGCCAGAUUUUGCCGUCCCCCUGCAGCAACAAGUACCAAUCAGUGUGCUCGUUUCAGUGUGACAUCAGCUACGAGCUGGAGGACGCGGCCCCGGCCAAACGCCGAUGUCAGGCCAACGGCCACUGGACAGAAACAACACAACAUUG